rnacentral:lncRNA from 1 species
UUAUUAUAGAUAGUUCAACUCAGAUUUGCGCGCGGCCCUAUGUGUGCGUCGGCUUGUAAAUAUACAACUUUCAUUUGUGUGACAGUGACGUCGUCCGAGCAUGACGUGUUCUUAUCACUUUUUCUUAUGGGUACAGUCGUUUACGAAAAUACUAGUUAUUCGUGGAGAAAUUAUUAAGGAGUCAGAUAAAGCGUUUCAAAAAAUAAAACGACAUUCAAAGCUUUUUAUUAUUAAAUAUAGUUUUUCAUUAUUUUUUCAUACGUCUUUUCAAAUUGACAUUGACAGUAUCUAAGAAUUGAAUACUCCUUAAGUACAUAUUUUCUAGCUCGGGGUACGUGGACAAUAAAUAAAAGUGUGGAUUAAGAAUGUAAAAAGAGGUAUAAUCUAGUACAAUAAUGUAAACAAAAUGUGUGGGGAAUUUUAAAAAGUUAUAUUGCUUCGCAUAAUGUCGACCAAAAUAACAAAAUAAUGAAACUCAUAAAUGAACGUUUAAGUCAAAUUGAUGAAGGGAUGUGGCGUAAUAC